rnacentral:rRNA from 1 species
UAACACAUGCAAGUCGAACGGUAGCAGGAAGUGCUUGCACUUUGCUGACGAGUGGCGGACGGGUGAGUAAUGCUUGGGAACUUGCCUUUAGGUGGGGGAUAACAGUUGGAAACGACUGCUAAUACCGCAUAAUGUCUACGGACCAAAGUGGGGGACCUUCGGGCCUCACGCCAUAAGAUUAGCCCAAGUGGGAUUAGCUAGUUGGUGAGGUAAUGGCUCACCAAGGCGACGAUCCCUAGCUGGUUUGAGAGGAUGAUCAGCCACACUGGGACUGAGACACGGCCCAGACUCCUACGGGAGGCAGCAGUGGGGAAUUUUCCGCAAUGGGCGAAAGCCUGACGGAGCAACGCCGCGUGAGGGAUGAAGGCCUCUGGGCUGUAAACCUCUUUUAUCAAGGAAGAAGAUCUGACGGUACUUGAUGAAUAAGCCACGGCUAACUCCGUGCCAGCAGCCGCGGUAAUACGGAGGGUGCGAGCGUUAAUCGGAAUUACUGGGCGUAAAGCGUACGCAGGCGGUUUGUUAAGCGAGAUGUGAAAGCCCCGGGCUCAACCUGGGAACUGCAUUUCGAACUGGCAAACUAGAGUGUGAUAGAGGGUGGUAGAAUUUCAGGUGUAGCGGUGAAAUGCGUAGAGAUCUGAAGGAAUACCGAUGGCGAAGGCAGCCACCUGGGUCAACACUGACGCUCAUGUACGAAAGCGUGGGGGAGCAAACAGGAUUAGAUACCCUGGUAGUCCACGCCGUAAACGAUGUCUACUAGAAGCUCGGGUCUUCGGACUUGUUUUUCAAAGCUAACGCAUUAAGUAGACCGCCUGGGGAGUACGGCCGCAAGGUUAAAACUCAAAUGAAUUGACGGGGGCCCGCACAAGCGGUGAGCAUGUGUUUAAUUCGAUGCAACGCGAAGAACCUUACCUACACUUGACAUACAGAGACUUACCAGAGAUGGUUUGGUGCCUUCGGGAACUCUGAUACAGGUGCUGCAUGCUGUCGUCAGCUCGUGUGUGAGAUGUUGGGUAGUUCCGCAACGAGCGCAACCCUAUCCUAGUGCCAGCGAUUCGGUCGGAACUCUAGA